GACGGGGCCCGGCACAAGCGGAGGAGCAUGUGGUUUAAUUCGAUGAUACGCGAGGAACCGUUACCUGGGCUCGAACGUAAGAUGACUGUAGGUGAAAGCUUACAUCUCUUCGGAGCAUUUUACGAGGUGCUGCAUGGUUGUCGCCAGCUCGUGCCGUGAGGUGUCGGGUUAAGUCCCAUAACGAGCGCAACCCCUACCUUUAGUUGCCAUCAGGUUAAGCUGGGGACUCUAAAGGAACUGCCUACGCAAGUAGUGAGGAAGGCGGGGAUGACGUCAAAUCAGCACGGCCCUUACGUCCAGGGCUACACACGUGCUACAAUGGCCGAUACAGAGGGCAGCUACCUGGUGACAGGAUGCAAAUCUCCAAAGUCGGUCUCAGUUCGGAUCGGAGUCUGCAACCCGACUCCGUGAAGUUGGAUUAGCUAGUAAUCGCGCAUCAGCCAUGGCGCGGUGAAUACGUUCCCGGGCCUU
rnacentral:rRNA from 1 species